rnacentral:rRNA from 1 species
UACGAAGGGGACUAGCGUUGUUCGGAAUCACUGGGCGUAAAGCGUAUGCAGGCGGAUCGUUAAGUCGGGGGUGAAAUCCCGAGGCUCAACCUCGGAACUGCCUUCGAUACUGGCGACCUUCGAGUCCGGGAGAGGUGAGUGGAACUCCGAGUGUAGAGGUGAAAUUCGUAGAUAUUCGGAAGAACACCAGUGGCGAAGGCGGCUCACUGGCCCGGUACUGACGCUGAGAUACGAAAGCGUGGGGAGCAAACAGG